rnacentral:rRNA from 1 species
CAGCCGCCGCGGGAAUACGGAGGGGGCUAGCGUUGUUCGGAAUUACUGGGCGUAAAGCGCACGUAGGCGGCUUGGUAAGUUAGAGGUGAAAGCCUGGAGCUCAACUUCAGAAUUGCCUUUAAGACUGCCGAGCUAGCAGGUGAGAGAGGUAAGUGGAAUUCCGAGUGUAGAGGUGAAAUUCGUAGAUAUUCGGAAGAACACCAGUGGCGAAGGCGGCUUACUGGCUCAUACUGGACGCUGAGGUGCGAAAGCGUGGGGAGCAAACAGGAUUAGAUACCCGGGUAGUCCCUGUCUCUUAUAC